GCUCCGCGCCGCCACCAUUGACAUGCUGCACUGCGGCCUGGCCUGCGAGCGCUGCAGGUGGAUCCUGCCGCUGCUCCUGCUCAGCGCCAUCGCCUUCGACAUCAUCGCGCUGUCUGGCCGCGGCUGGCUGCAAUCCAGCGACCACAUCCAGACGUCCUCGCUGUGGUGGAGAUGCUUCCACCAGGGCGGCGGCAGCGGGUCCUACGACGAUGGCUGCCAGAGCCUGAUGGACUUCGCAUCGGGAAGAGCAGCCGCCGCCACGCUCUUCUGUGGCUUUAUCAUCCUGGUGAUCUGCUUCAUCUUGUCCUUCUUUGCCGUCUGUGGACCCCAGAUGCUUGUCUUCCUGAGAGUGAUCGGAGGCCUGCUGGCCCUGGCUGCUGUGUUCCAGAUCAUCUCACUGAUAAUUUACCCUGUGAAGUACACGCAGACCUUUAACCUUCACGCCAACCCCGCUGUCACCUACAUCUAUAACUGAGCCUACGGCUUUGGGUGGGCAGCCACCAUUAUCCUGAUCGGUUGCUCCUUCUUCUUUUGCUGCCUCCCCAACUACCAAGACGACUUUCUGGGCAACGCCAAGCCCAGGUACUUCUACCCACCCGCCUAACAUGGGAGCCAGAGCGGAAGAAAAUCAUCGCUGUGAAAUGGUUUCCAGAGAACGAAAAUGUU